AAGCUAGUGAAUAUUCUUGGUUCUUGUUACAUUAUUUUACUCCCUGUAGCUCAUCAAAUAACCCAGGAAUCCAUUUGACUGAUUUAUUUGAAGCAGAGGUUGUGGAGAAAGAGGGUGGGAACCAUCAGAAAAGACUGCCUUUGUAAUGCUCUCAUCGUUUGACAGGGGAAGCCUUACUUGAACACAGCCGCUGCUGACUUAGGAAAAGAGCUUUCUGGGAAUAGGUGUUUGUAACAACUUGCCCAAAAGCAGAAAAACUGUGAGACAAUUACAGCAGAACGUGUGAAGAUUAUAUGAGUUACUUCCACUAGAAUUUCCUGCCCAUUUCUCUGCUAAGGCUGGAUGUCGUGGGUAACCAGUGAUCUAGAGAUAGGAGACGCCAACCUUUUCAGCAUCAUGGUGGCGACACUGGGAGAGCUUCCACGUGAUCGGCUACAAAGAUGGCGGACAGCACUUCCGUCCAUCUUAUUCGGAGACUUCCAAAUGCUCAGACUGAGAAGAUGUUGGGGAUCUCAGAUAUGGCUGGAGUCUCUAGCCGACUUGUUUCUCAACCUUCCCAGUGCUGCAACCCUUACUACAGUUCCCUAACCAUAAAGUUAUUUUCAUUGCUACCUCAUAACUGUAAUUCUGUUACUGUUAUGAAUUGUAAUGUAAAUAUACAUGUUUUUCAAUGGCCUUAGGUGACUCUUGUGAAGAGUCAUCACUCCCCCGGCAGGGAGCCAUGGUCCACAGGCUGAGAACCUCUCUUCUAGCUCUUAACUGUGUAAGCUAGUUUUAAAUCCCCUCACAGUCAAGCAUUCUCUUGAUUCUGUUCCUCUAGGAAACCUGGACUAACACAAGGUCUUGUUGAAGCCUGAAGGGCUCUGCUACACACCAUGACUACUGCCAGGGUGGACCUUUAUCAGGCAUGUUACUGUGUGACUAUUCUUUAAUGAAACAUUUCAGUGCAGCAAACUAGACCUAAAGGUGAAACUGCUCCCCAGACUGAGGUGAAAUGGAGUAGAUGUCUGAAAGUGGGGGAAAAGUCCAGAGGCUAAUGUCCAGGACUUCCCAGUGCAACCAGCCUUCUCCAUCAGUGGUAUCAUAAAGGUCUGUCCCUCAGCAUUAGCGCUCAUGUCCACCAGAAGCAUAGAGCUGCUUCACAGAGGACCCUCGAUGCUACUGAAAACACCUUCCUUAGUUACAGAAAUGGCCACUAUCAAUUCUUUUUAAUAAUCUACACAGCUUAUUUGAUUUUGUUCCUAUUUAAAUGUCUAUUUCUGUUUAAGCUCGUAGUGUAGGUACACUAUUCUAUGCCUUCACACCAGGACACAUGUUUCCGCUCUGCCUCUAACAACUGAGGUCAGUUUGGUACUGUUGUUGAUGUCAUGGACCCAUGUGCCAACUCUCUUACAAAGUGCUGGCCCGUGACCAUAGGAACGAGAAACGCCACUCCAGGAACAAAAUGAGGCUCCUAUUCCUCAUUCUGACUUUCCCUCAAGCACUAAAAUCAUUAAGUUGCAUUCACUGUACCUGGUGCUCUGUUAAACCCUUCUGCACAGUCUCGUCCCUUUAAAACACCCAUCAAGCAUCAUGGUUAUCCAGAUUUUACAGGUAAGGAAAUUGAAUAGGAGAGUUAAAAAUGACUGUGUGACAUCACUUAGCUGAUUCUUGAUAAGACUGCGCCUUAAUAGAAAUCAAAGAAAGAGAACAACAGUGACUCCAAGAGAAAAAAUAAAAUAACAAUAACAGUUACACCUGAAGAUGAAGUCAUUUGUAAAUAUCUACAAAGUCCAGGAUAGCGGCUCUUUCUCUCCUCUUGUGCCUCCCCCUCUCAGUUAAAAAAAAAUUAGAAAUAUCCUUCUAAAUCUCCCAUCUUCUUCAAUGGCCAAUUAUAUGAAUCUCCUAUUAAAAAUAAUCAAAUCCAAUAUAUGCAUGUAUUAGGAUAGAUAGGUGGAAAAGGUCCUAAUGACAUUGUAAUCAAAACCUUGGAGUUAUAAGUUGUUAAGCCAGCCAUGGAUAAAAACCCCAAAUACAAAAUUAAUGCAU